rnacentral:rRNA from 1 species
UAAUACGGAGGUGGCAAGCGUUGUUCGGAAUUAUUGGGCGUAAAGGGCGCGUAGGCGGCUUGACAAGUCAGAUGUGAAAGCCCCGGGCUUAACUCGGGAAUUGCAUCUGAAACUGUUUUGCUUGAGUCCUGGAGGGGGUAGUGGAAUUCCCAGUGUAGCGGUGAAAUGCGUAGAUAUUGGGAGGAACACCUGCGGCGAAGGCGGCUACCUGGACAGUGACUGACGCUGAGGCGCGAAAGCUAGGGGAGCGAACG